rnacentral:rRNA from 1 species
CGGCACGGGUGAGUAACACGUAUCCAACCUGCCGUCUACUCUUGGAUAGCCUUCUGAAAGGAAGAUUAAUACAAGAUGGCAUCAUGAGUUCACAUGUUCACAUGAUUAAAGGUAUUCCGGUAGACGAUGGGGAUGCGUUCCAUUAGAUAGUAGGCGGGGUAACGGCCCACCUAGUCUUCGAUGGAUAGGGGUUCUGAGAGGAAGGUCCCCCACAUUGGAACUGAGACACGGCCAA